AGAUUGAACGCUGGCGGCAGGCCUAACACAUGCAAGUCGAGCGGCAGCACGGGUACUUGUACCUGGUGGCGAGCGGCGGACGGGUGAGUAAUGCCUAGGAAUCUGCCUGGUAGUGGGGGAUAACGCUCGGAAACGGACGCUAAUACCGCAUACGUCCUACGGGAGAAAGCAGGGGACCUUCGGGCCUUGCGCUAUCAGAUGAGCCUAGGUCGGAUUAGCUAGUUGGUGAGGUAAUGGCUCACCAAGGCGACGAUCCGUAACUGGUCUGAGAGGAUGAUCAGUCACACUGGAACUGAGACACGGUCCAGACUCCUACGGGAGGCAGCAGUGGGGAAUAUUGGACAAUGGGCGAAAGCCUGAUCCAGCCAUGCCGCGUGUGUGAAGAAGGUCUUCGGAUUGUAAAGCACUUUAAGUUGGAGGAAGGCAGUUACCUAAUACGUAUCUGUUUUGACGUUACCGACAGAAUAAGCACCGGCUAACUCUGUG
rnacentral:rRNA from 1 species